UAAUUCAUCCUUUUAAUCCUGAAUGCUCUAGGAUAGUCUCAGGUUAACUGUCAACUGAGAUUACUUCAUCCACAUUAUAUUUCAACCUUUCAAAUCCAUCUCAUGGAUUAUUCUGGCCAAGGUUUUGCCAAAUUGAAAUACAGGGAUACAUCAACUUCAAUAAUUCAGAGGGGUCAAUCCCAUCUUGAUUCAUACACAGACUUCGCAAGUACUUGACUGUACCCAAUAGCCUUCCGUCACUGCAUUAGAGAUCCAGAU
rnacentral:lncRNA from 1 species